rnacentral:rRNA from 1 species
CCUACGGGGGGCAGCAGUAGGGAAUAUUGCUCAAUGGGGGAAACCCUGAAGCAGCAACGCCGCGUGGAGGAUGAAGGUUUUCGGAUUGUAAACUCCUUUUGUUAGAGAAGAUAAUGACGGUAUCUAACGAAUAAGCACCGGCUAACUCCGUGCCAGCAGCCGCGGUAAUACGGAGGGUGCAAGCGUUACUCGGAAUCACUGGGCGUAAAGAGCGCGUAGGCGGGAUAGCAAGUCAGAUGUGAAAUCCUAUGGCUUAACCAUAGAACUGCAUUUGAAACUGUUAUUCUAGAGAAUGGGAGAGGUAGGUGGAAUUCUUGGUGUAGGGGUAAAAUCCGUAGAGAUCAAGAGGAAUACUCAUUGCGAAGGCGACCUGCUAGAACAUAACUGACGCUGAUGCGCGAAAGCGUGGGGAGCAAACAGGAUUAGAUACCCUUGUAGUC